rnacentral:rRNA from 1 species
AUGGAGUUCAAGCACCUGUGCCUGGUGAGGUUCAAGGAGGGCGUGGUGGUGGAGGACAUCAUUGAGGAGCUCACCAAGCUCGCCGCGGAGCUCGACACCGUCAAAUUCUUUGGGUGGGGAAAGGACGUGCUGAACCAGGAGGCGCUGACGCAGGGCUUCACCCACGUCUUCUCCAUGAGCUUCGCCAGCGCCGAGGACCUGGCAGCGUGCAUGGGCCACGAGAAGCACUCUGCCUUCGCCGCCACCUUCAUGGCCGUGCUCGACAAGGUGGUUGUCCUGGACUUCCCCUUCGUCGUCGCCAAGCCGGCGCCAUCGCCUGAGGCCGCCUGA